rnacentral:rRNA from 1 species
GUAAAGUGGCGCACGGGUGAGUAACGCGUGGGUAAUCUACCUUCGAAUUGGGGAUAACGUUGCGAAAGCGACGCUAAUACCGAAUAACAUCCAUUAACCUUCGGGUUUUUGGAUCAAGGGUGGCCUCUACAUGUAAGCUACUGUUUGAAGAUGAGCCCGCGUACCAUUAGCUUGUUGGUGGGGUAAUGGCCUACCAAGGCAGCGAUGGUUAGCUGGUCUGAGAGGAUGAUCAGCCACACUGGAACUGACACACGGUCCAGACUCCUACGGGAGGCAGCAGUGAGGAAUUUUGCGCAAUGGGGGAAACCCUGACCAGCAACGCCGCGUGAGUGAUGAAGGCUUUCGGGUCGUAAAGCUCUGUCAAGUGGGAAGAACCUGCAGUAUGCUAAUAUCAUAUUGCACUGACGGUACCACUGAAGGAAGCACCGGCUAACUCCGUGCCAGCAGCCGCGGUAAUACGGGGGGUGCAAGCGUUAUUCGGAAUCAUUGGGCGUAAAGGGCACGUAGGCGGCCUGGUAAGUCAGAUGUGAAAGCCCUGGGCUUAACCCGGGAAGUGCAUUUGAUACUGUCAGGCUUGAGUAUGGGAGAGGGAAGUGGAAUUCCUGGUGUAGAGGUGAAAUUCGUAGAUAUCAGGAGGAACACCGGUGGCGAAGGCGACUUCCUGGACCAAUACUGACGCUGAGGUGCGAAGGCGUGGGUAGCAAACAGGAUUAGAUACCCUGGUAGUCCACGCAGUAAACGUUGUUCACUAGGUGUAGCGGGUAUUGACCCCUGCUGUGCCGCAGUUAACGCAUUAAGUGAACCGCCUGGGGAGUACGGCCGCAAGGUUAAAACUCAAAGGAAUUGACGGGGGCCCGCACAAGCGGUGGAGCAUGUGGUUUAAUUCGACGCAACGCGAAGAACCUUACCUGGAUUUGACAUCCCGGGAAUCCUAUCGAAAGACUGGAGUGCCCUUCGGGGAGCCCGGAGACAGGUGCUGCAUGGCUGUCGUCAGCUCGUGUCGUGAGAUGUUGGGCUAAGUCCCGCAACGAGCGCAACCCUUGUCUUUAGUUACCAUCAUUCAGUUGGGGACUCUAAAGAUACUGCCCCGGUCAACGGGGAGGAAGGUGGGGAUGACGUCAAGUCCUCAUGGCCUUUAUGUCCAGGGCUACACACGUGCUACAAUGGGCUGUACAAAGGGUCGCGAACCCGCGAGGGUAAGCCAAUCCCAAAAAGCAGUCCCAAGUUCGGAUUGGAGUCUGC